CCUCCUGGCUGAGCUUCUCUACACCCGCACCGCGCGGCUUGGGGAUCUUUUGGUGAUGUUGUGCUUUGCUUUUUCUGUGAGGGGUGUCAGAAACCAGUCCUGUGUUACCAAGGCACCAGGGUGGAAGCCACA
rnacentral:lncRNA from 1 species